UACGUAGGGUGCAAGCGUUAAUCGGAAUUACUGGGCGUAAAGCGUGCGCAGGCGGUUGUGCAAGACAGAUGUGAAAUCCCCGGGCUUAACCUGGGAAUGGCAUUGGAAACUGGCUCGCUGGAGUGUGGCAGAGGGGGGGUGGAAUUCCGCGUGUAGCAGUGAAAUGCGUAGAGAUGCGGAGGAACACCGAUGGCGAAGGCAGCCCCCUGGGCUAACACUGACGCUCAGGCACGAAAGCGUGGGAGCAAACAGG
rnacentral:rRNA from 1 species